CGGGCUCCGGGCUGUGUGGGGCUGCGACCGCGGGGCGUGAGGUGAGCUGGCCCCGGUCGGGCUGUCCCUGCGGGAAGCUGCUGCGGGGUGAGCUGGGGCUGAGUCAGCAGCGAGACGACCUCUGGCAGAGAAGUGCCGCCCAGGGACAGCCCUGUGGUGUCAAAGCGGAUUUUCCACGGCUUCUUGUGGGGCGAGUUCUCUCCACGCGGUGAGGAGCACCAGUUCGCUGUGCUGUGCUCCGUUUGUCGUUUUCCUGAGAGGAAACAUGCGCACCGCAGCUCGUGCCAAGUGUGGCAGUGAUUUCUGCCAUAGUGUCGCCGUGGCAGCCGGACCAAGACUGCAACCACCCAUCCUCUGGUGGCAAUGGCACCUUGCCAGCAGGCUUGGACGCCAGGCCUGCUCAUUAGGCUCUGUCACUCAGCAGCAGCUCCCUCCAUCCUGCUGUCCCUGCUCCCCUCCUACCACCUCAUUACCUUCCAGCUAACCACCUCGUCAGUGGGCUGCAAUAGGACAGAAGUUUGAGCAGUGUGAUGCAAGCGAGCAGAGCUGCCCCAUGCCAGUGGCUCAGCCAUCCUGCUGCUAGGAUUGGGCUCGCCCACACAAGGCAUCUCAGCUUCAUUUUCAAAACAUUCCUCGAGAAGCUGUCUUCUCUCCUUGCCCUCAUAAAUGACAGCAGUUCCUGAAGUAAGAGGAGUGAGAGGAAAACUUCUGCAGAAGCUCUCUGACAGGACUUGCUCCUUUGCCUGUGAGCACACACUUUGUGAAAGCAAGUGUGGGUUUCCAGACCAAAAUGAGGAAUUUCUCUUUCACAACAGAGUCCAAUUGUAUCAAUAACAUGAAGGCACAUUACUCCAAACUGAACAUCACAGGGCAACUGCUUGAGGAAAAAAGAAAAAAUCAAUAUAUGAUGAAAAAGGCACCCAACUCCAGCACAGAAAGGAAAUGCUCAUUUCCAGUAUUCUGAGCUGCUCCUCGUGUCCCUCUAAAUCGCUGUUGUGAUAUUGUCAUUACUCUCCUAGCAUUAUGGUUUCCAAAGACAGUAUUUCCCUGAAUGACAAUGAGGAAGUUUUGCUGCUGCUGUACAAACUGUUAAUUGUUUUUCUGUCAUGCCUUGAGGCCUUGGUGAGGACUCCUUCCAUUGCACUUCGCUCCUAAGAAGAAUUCUGAAGAAGCAUUCCUGCUGCCUCAGGUGCUGCAUUCUCGGCAAUCUGUGUUAUUCAUAUCCACUGUCAAUACAGGGUUAUUCACAUUUUCCAGAAGGAGCAAAAUUUACACAGUUCCCACUGCCCACAGGCAAAAGGGGAUUCAUGUUGGUGUGAAGGUGAAGAAAUCAGUGACACAUCAAUCUGGGAUGUCGGCUAUCUUGAGGUGCACAUCUAUGUUUUUGAUGAAAUGCAGAACUUUAUUCUUUAGUAACAGGUGUGUCUGGGUGAAAUUCUAUACCCUUUGAAACAGGUAAGAACAAAGAAGUCUCAGCCACCACCCCCUAGGGUGGAGUUACAAGGUGCAUUCAUCAUCCUCAAUUACAGACAUAUUUGCAGAGGGCUGUGGCAUGACACCAUGAAAGAUGCACAACUAGCUGUUUAAAUCAUUGAAUAGAAACCUAAUUGGGAGAUAUGCAAGUAAGGAGUGAUGGAGUGAUACCUUACCCACCUUUCCUUGGCUUGCCAGUGCUGAGUGCAUCACCAGUCCUGAGGAGACAGGAAGGCAUGAAUGAUUUUAGGGCUGAUAUUUCCCUCGCACCUCACCUAGUGGCUCUGCAGUAUGUGUUUCUGCAGAAGCCAUUCAGACUGGUCUGCUGGUCACUGCACAUGUGCUUGUGGGAGGCUGCAACCAGGAAGACAACACACUUUGCUUUACAUGAAGUAGCUGGCAGCUCCUGAGUUCGCACCAAAUCCAUACCUCUUUAUAAUGCUUCUUGCCUGUCUUUCUUGCCUCAGUCUAAAAACACACAGUUUUUAGUGUGAAAGCUGUACAUGAUACAAUUUUGCUUAUGUUGCUUCAUUAGCAAAUAUUCUGUCCUAGCCACUCUUCCUGUGCCCGUGGACUUAGGUUUACAUUUGUGAGGAUUUAAAACUGGAAGUAUGUCCAUUUUCCAUCUUGAUUCAUGAAUUUUGCGGUCCUUUGUUUACUGCAAGGUGCACAAGGAGGGCUUCUGAAGAAAGGAGACAGGAAACAUAGUCCACAUGUGGCAACAAAGAGGCAGUUUUGGGGAGGUGGUGGUCAGAGUGAUGGGAUGUUUCUGGGUGUCUACCAUAGCCAAAUGGCACAUUGUUUUCUGGUAUAAAGAAUAUUUUCAUAAUGAGCAGUGAAUUCAGUCUGGCUGCACCUACAGCCCCAAGAACAAACAGUCUAGAGGUAGGUUUGUCAAUAAAUACCAUCUGCUUAGCAGCAUGGAAUCCAAACUAUUGCAGAAUCCACCUUAAUGGUGGCUGCUGUUUUGCUAGAUAUAGAUGAGAUAAAAAUGUCUACAAAAUACUUUUUUUUUUUUUAAAUAGUGUGAUUCUGAUCUCAAAAAUAUGACAGGAAGUGUAAUGAGACUUGUUCAAUCUCAGUUUAAGUCUGAGAGAAUGAAAUGAACAGCUGCAGUUAGCUUCUUUCCUGAAGGACAGCAAAGCACCCCACAGACACCUAAGCUGUAAGUGAAGUUGCUUCUCACAGAGAUUUGGACACUGAUGUGUCUGAAAUAUGUCUUGCUUCCACUCCUGCCCACAAGGGAAGGAAAUGCAACUUUGCGAGCAGCAGAAGUAGCAGAGCCUGGUUUCCUCGAUGCUUCCAUGGAGGCUCCCAGCUGGUUUCCUGCCUCAGCAUGCUGACAACCGAUAAGAGGAGAAUUCCUGCUGCAGCCAUUCUCUCUGCAGAGGCACUGGCAAUCCUUGCUGCUUGGCUGCUUGUUUUCCAGUAAUUUCAUAAAAGCAGAGCAUCUGUGGGAUCUUUACGUCUCCGAGGUUCAGUCGAGACUGGCUGUUGGAUUCAAAGGUCCUGAAGAAUCCAAGAGAAAUGAGACAUAAGCAUCAUUUAAAAAUUCUGAAACCAAAAUGAGAACUUUAGCAUGCUAGAUGACUAAUUCUUCCCUGAGCAGAGACGUGUAAGAAAAAACUGUCACACUGUAGUCCAACUUGGAUUUAUGGGUGUGAUAUUCUGCUGAUCUUUUUUAGAGGUCUUCAUUUCCCUCUGUCUGUAUUGUAAAAUAUGGAUAAGAGGUUUAGGUACAUAACUGGGAUGGUUAAAUUCUUCCAAAUCUUGCAUAACUGCAAAAUAUCAAAAGAUCAGAUCAAGAAUUUGUCAUAGAAAUUGCCUGGCUGGAACUCGGACUCAUUUUUAUGUCAGUUGUCUUUUGUAGCGAAGGAUCAGGGAGGAUUCCAGGGAAAGACAGACCUGAAUAAGCAACUCUUUAAGACACAAAUUUAAUUUUAAAAAAAAAUGUGGUGUAAGAUUAAUGAAACAAGGAAGAGGGUGAAGAUGUAAAAAGAAGGUCAUCACUGAGGAGUGCAAUCCACAGCUCAUUGUCUGUGUGGAAGGAUAGCAGUGACGUAGAAAGCGGAAUCGUAAAAGGGGUGGGUGAAAGAGAAAAGUUUGCUGGGCAAGUAAACCAUAAAAGGUCUUUUUUAAUGGAGCAUGCUUACUUUAAUGUAAAUCUGCAGCAGAUCUACUUGCUUCCUGACGUUCCAGAGUUUCACUGACGAUGAAGUUUCUGAGACACACAAAGUUGCAAACAAAUAUGGCCUGAAAAUGGCAACAGAGAAAUUGGUUGGGGUGUAUUUACUCCCAGGAAAGGUAGCAUAGAGCCAGGAGUGCCAGGAGAAAAGCGCAGUGAAGUGUAUUUCUUGAAAAUACAAGGGAGAACAGUUUCAACGCCUCAUGUAAGUGUGCUUCUCUGAAGUCCAAAGAAGAGCUGCUUUCAGAUUCCAAAGCUAAAGCUUGCCUUCGCUGAAAAGCUUGACGUCAGGAGUGAUGGCUACACAGCAAUAAGCCAUGCCGAGGGCAGUUUGGAGAUUUUUAAGAGGACACCUGUGCCACCCCAGCCUGCUCCAGCACUCAGGAUGGCCCCAAUGCCUGCAGGGAAAUUCAUCUGUGCUCACUGUUCAAAGCAAGCCCUCCUAUGCUAAAUCCUCUUUGAUCCUCCAGGACAAUGAAGAGACCCUGAGCUGUAAUCAAGCUUGCUUUAGGGCUGGUUUUAGACCCCACAAGAUGUCCAGAACUGGACACAAUCCAUAGGGCCUUUAAGCCCCUUUUCAGAGUGCUCCAGAAAUAUGAACUCUGUGCUCAGCAAUGUCUGAUCGGUAUAAGCCACUCUCAUCUUCUGUCACAUGAGGGCAAGUCACACUUCCUCUGCCUCUUCCUUCCCAGAGUUCCUGUGGACACCAGUGGAAUGGGGAAGCAUUGGUGCUUGGAGCUGGGAGCCCUUCUCCCCAGGCAGUCUCCAACUUCUGCCUUCCAAGCUGCCACUGAGGGGUGAUCUUUUAAACUGCUGACAUAGAAUAGAAAAAGGAGAAAAGAAAGAAGAGAAAGGAAAACAAGAAACAAUCUGGAGCUAUGCCCUUUGUCUUCUCUCCUUGAAAAUACAAAUUAGUAUUUGUUUGUUUGUUUGUUUUAAAGAGAAAUAAGAAUAAAUGUUACAAUAUGAAGUAAAUGCUGUUAUAUAUG
ensembl:lncRNA